AUUGAACGCUGGCGGCAUGCCUUACACAUGCAAGUCGAACGGCAGCACGGGUGCUUGCACCUGGUGGCGAGUGGCGAACGGGUGAGUAAUACAUCGGAACAUACCUUAUCGUGGGGGAUAACGCAGCGAAAGCUGUGCUAAUACCGCAUACGCCCUGAGGGGGAAAGCGGGGGAUCGAAAGACCUCGCGCGAUUAGAGCGGCCGAUGCCUGAUUAGCUUGUUGGUGGGGUAAAAGCCCACCAAGGCGACGAUCAGUAGCUGGUCUGAGAGGACGAUCAGCCACACUGGGACUGAGACACGGCCCAGACUCCUACGGGAGGCAGCAGUGGGGAAUUUUGGACAAUGGGGGCAACCCUGAUCCAGCAAUGCCGCGUGAGUGAAGAAGGCCUUCGGGUUGUAAAGCUCUUUUGUCAGGGAAGAAACAGCAGCUCUAACACAGUCUGCGAAUGACGGUACCUGAAGAAUAAGCACCGGCUAACUACGUGCCAGCCGCCGCCGUAA
rnacentral:rRNA from 1 species